rnacentral:rRNA from 1 species
GGACGAACGCUGGCGGCGUGCCUAAUACAUGCAAGUCGAGCGGACGAAUCGAAAGCUUGCUUUUGAUUCGUUAGCGGCGGACGGGUGAGUAACACGUGGGCAACCUGCCCUGUAGACGGGGAUAACACCGAGAAAUCGGUGCUAAUACCGGAUAACACGAAAUGUCGCAUGACGUUUCGUUUAAAGACGGCGCAAGCUGCCGCUACAGGAUGGGCCCGCGGCGCAUUAGCUAGUUGGUGAGGUAACGGCUCACCAAGGCGACGAUACGUAGCCGACCUGAGAGGGUGAUCGGCCACACUGGGACUGAGACACGGCCCAGACUCCUACGGGAGGCAGCAGUAGGGAAUCUUCCGCAAUGGACGAAAGUCUGACGGAGCAACGCCGCGUGAGCGAAGAAGGCCUUCGGGUCGUAAAGCUCUGUUGUUAGGGAAGAACAAGUAACGCAGUAACUGGCGUUACCGUGACGGUACCUAACGAGAAAGCCACGGCUAACUACGUG